rnacentral:rRNA from 1 species
GGAGAGUUUGAUCCUGGCUCAGGAUGAACGCUGGCGGCGUGCCUAAUACAUGCAAGUCGAACGAGGAGCACCGGGUGUUUACACUUGGUGUUUCCUAGUGGCGAACGGGUGAGUAACGCGUUGGUGACCUGCCCCGAAGUGGGGGAUAACAGCUCGAAAGGGCUGCUAAUACCCCAUGUGCUUACCGGAGUUAGAGGGCCGGUAAGUAAAGGAGCAAUCCGCUUCGGGAGGGGCCUGCGUCCCAUCAGGUAGUUGGUAGGGUAAUGGCCUACCAAGCCGACGACGGGUAGGGGGCCUGAGAGGGUGGCCCCCCACACUGGCACUGAAACACGGGCCAGACACCUACGGGUGGCAGCAGUAGGGAAUAUUG